GAGUGUGCUGAUGCAGAAGUACCACAGGCAACCCAGUAGUGGCACUCUGGAUGGCUGUGAAUUGUCUGAACGUGAGCAAACAUC
ensembl:miRNA gga-mir-1733 gga-mir-1733